rnacentral:rRNA from 1 species
UACGUAGGGGGCAAGCGUUGUCCGGAAUCAUUGGGCGUAAAGCGCGCGUAGGCGGCUCGAUCAGUCUGCUGUAAAAGUCAAAGGCUCAACCUUUGAAUGCCGGUGGAUACUGUCGGGCUAGAGUCUGGAAGAGGCGAGUGGAAUUCCUGGUGUAGCGGUGGAAUGCGCAGAUAUCAGGAGGAACACCAACGGCGAAGGCAGCUCGCUGGGACGGUACUGACGCUGAGGCGCGAAAGCGUGGGGAGCGAACAGG